AGUGAACGCUGGCGGUAGGCCUAACACAUGCAAGUCGAACGGCAGCACAGUAAGAGCUUGCUCUUACGGGUGGCGAGUGGCGGACGGGUGAGGAAUACAUCGGAAUCUACUUUUUCGUGGGGGAUAACGUAGGGAAACUUACGCUAAUACCGCAUACGACCUACGGGUGAAAGCAGGGGAUCUUCGGACCUUGCGCGAUUGAAUGAGCCGAUGUCGGAUUAGCUAGUUGGCGGGGUAAAGGCCCACCAAGGCGACGAUCCGUAGCUGGUCUGAGAGGAUGAUCAGCCACACUGGAACUGAGACACGGUCCAGACUCCUACGGGAGGCAGCAGUGGGGAAUAUUGGACAAAGGGCGCAAGCCUGAUCCAGCCAUACCGCGUGGGUGAAGAAGGCCUUCGUGUUGUAAAGCCCUUUUGUUGGGAAAGAAAAGCAGCAGGUUAAUACCCCGCUGUUCUGACGGUACCCAAAGAAUAAGCACCGGCUAACUUCGUG
rnacentral:rRNA from 1 species